UGGGGAAUAUCGGACAAUGGGCGAAAGCCUGAUCCAGCCACGCCGCAUGAGUGAUGAAGGCCUUCGGGUCGUAAAGCUCUGUGGGGAGGGACGAAUGACCGGGUGAAGAAUCCGGAAUGACGGUACCUCCUUAGCAAGCACCGGCUAACUUCGUGCCAGCAGCCGCGGUAAUACGAAGGGUGCAAACGUUGCUCGGAAUCAUUGGGCGUAAAGCGCACGUAGGCGGCCUGAUAAGUCGGAUGUGAAAUCCCUCGGCUCAACCGAGGACGUGCAUUCGAAACUGUCAGACUCGAGUAUGGAAGAGGGUCGCGGAAUUCCCGGUGUAGAGGUGAAAUUCGUAGAUAUCGGGAGGAACACCAGUGGCGAAGGCGGCGACCUGGGCCAAUACUGACGCUGAGGUGCGAAAGCGUGGGGAGCAAACAG
rnacentral:rRNA from 1 species